CAAGUGAGUGUGAUUUUGAAGAAAGGAGGAAAGAUGUGAAAAGUGAUUAGUCAGCCACAUUCAUGGUGUUGAGAAAAGAAUUUGCUUUUCUGGAACAUAGCCUGUGAUAGCAGAACAACGUCUGGCAAGAAACAGGUUAUAUUUGGCUGGAGAGUCAUUGGCACUAUCAAGAAAUAUUAAAGUGUAGAUUUGAGAGAGGAGGAGAAAGACCCAAGCAAAAUUGAAAACCAGGUGAGACCCAGACAGCAGCAAAGCAAUGGAAGCAUGUAUUUUGGUCAAUAUAGAGUUAAUACACAAUUUUGCCCCUCUUCUUCUGAUCAUGGGACUCAUAUUACCAGUCUUCACAUUUCCUUUAAAUUCAGGAAUCAGGAAGAAUUUCCAGAGUGUGCAGAUGAACACAUUUGCUGCUUCCAUUCUAAACAUAAGUUAUAAGAACUUUUCAACUGGAUUCCAACUUUAAUAUGUCACAAACAUAAAAAAGAAAGCUAUUUCCUGGACUUUUCUUCAUUAGAAAUUAAUAGAUUGUCAAUUGGCAAUAUAAUUGUAGGGAAAAUAUAAUCAACAGAUGUCAAUCCCAAGUUAACAGAAAUGCUAAAAUUAUAAGA
rnacentral:lncRNA from 1 species